rnacentral:rRNA from 1 species
AGCUUGUUGGUGGGGUAAUGGCCUACCAAGGCCGCGAUGGUUAGCUGGUCUGAGAGGAUGAUCAGCCACACUGGAACUGAAACACGGUCCAGACUCCUACGGGAGGCAGCAGUGAGGAAUUUUGCGCAAUGGGGGAAACCCUGACGCAGCAACGCCGCGUGAGUGAAGAAGGCUUUCGGGUCGUAAAGCUCUGUCAAGUGGGACAAAGGACUUUCGGUCAAUAGCCGGAAGGAUUGAUGGUACCACUAGAGGAAGCACCGGCUAACUCCGUGCCAGCAGCCGCGGUAAUACGGAGGGUGCGAGUGUUGUUCGGAAUUAUUGGGCGUAAAGAGCGUGUAGGCGGUUUGGUAAGUCAGGUGUGAAAGCCCUGGGCUUAACUCAGGAAGUGCACUUGAAACUACCUCACUUGAGUAUGGGAGAGGAGAGUGGAAUUCCCAGUGUAGAGGUGAAAUUCGUAGAUAUUGGGAGGAACACCCGUGGCGAAGGCGACUCUCUGGACCAAUACUGACGCUGAGACGCGAAAGCGUGGGGAGCAAACAGGAUUAGAUACCCUGGUAGUCCACGCCGUAAACGAUGAGAACUAGGUGUAGCGGGUAUUGACCCCUGCUGUGCCGGAGCUAACGCAUUAAGUUCUCCGCCUGGGGAGUACGGCCGCAAGGCUAAAACUCAAAGGAAUUGACGGGGGCCCGCACAAGCGGUGGAGCAUGUGGUUUAAUUCGACGCAACGCGAAGAACCUUACCUGGAUUUGACAUCCUCUGAUACCCCCGGAAACGGGGUUUGCCCUGCUUGCAGGGACAGAGUGACAGGUGCUGCAUGGCUGUCGUCAGCUCGUGUCGUGAGAUGUUGGUUAAGUCCCGCAACGAGCGCAACCCCUGUCUUUAGUAGCCAGUAUUUAGUUAGGCACUCUAAAGAUACUGCCUCGGUUAACGGGGAGGAAGGUGGGGAUGACGUCAAGUCCUCAUGGCCUUAUAUCCAGGGCUACACACGUGCUACAAUGGGCGGUACAAAGGGUUGCCAUCCCGCGAGGGGGAGCUAAUCCCAAAAAGCCGUUCUCAGUUCGGAUUGGAGUCUGCAACUCGACUCCAUGAAGUCGGAAUCGCUAGUAAUCGUGGAUCAGCAUGCCACGGUGAAUACGUUCCCGGGCCUUGUACACACCGCCCGUCACACCACGAAAGUUGGCUGUACCAGAAGUUGCUGGGCUAACCCCAUUAGGGGGGGCAGGUACCUAAGGUACGGUUGAUAAUU